rnacentral:rRNA from 1 species
CCCUUAGAUGUUCUGGGCCGCACGCGCGCUACACUGAUUCAUGCAACGAGUUUUGUCCUUGGCUGAAAGGCCUGGGUAAUCUUUGAACGUGAAUCGUGCUGGGGAUAGAUGAUUGCAAUUAUUCAUCUUCAACGAGGAAUUCCUAGUAAACGCAAGUCAUCAGCUUGCAUUGAUUACGUCCCUGCCCUUUGUACACACCGCCCGUCGCACCUACCGAUUGAAUGGUCCGGUGAAAUCUUCGGACCUGAGAGAUGUUGGAUUAAUUUCUGACGCCUUUUGGAAAAGUCGCUUAAACCUUAUCAUUUAGAGGAAGGUGAAGUCGUAACA